rnacentral:rRNA from 1 species
GACGAACGCUGGCGGCGUGCCUAAUACAUGCAAGUCGAACGCACUCUCGUUUAGAUUGAAGGAGUUUGCUCCUGAUUGAUAAACAUUUGAGUGAGUGGCGGACGGGUGAGUAACACGUGGGUAACCUGCCCUAAAGUGGGGGAUAACAUUUGGAAACAGAUGCUAAUACCGCAUAAAACCUAACACCGCAUGGUGUAGGGUUGAAAGAUGGUUUCGGCUAUCACUUUAGGAUGGACCCGCGGUGCAUUAGUUAGUUGGUGAGGUAAAGGCUCACCAGGACCGUGAUGCAUAGCCGGCCUGAGAGGGUAAUCGGCCACACUGGGACUGAGACACGGCCCAGACUCCUACGGGAGGCAGCAGUAGGGAAUCUUCCACAAUGGACGAAAGUCUGAUGGAGCAACGCCGCGUGAGUGAAGAAGGUUUUCGGAUCGUAAAACUCUGUUGUUGGAGAAGAAUGUAUCUGAUAGUAACUGAUCAGGUAGUGACGGUAUCCAACCAGAAAGCCACGGCUAACUACGUG